rnacentral:misc_RNA from 1 species
GAUGAAGAACGUAGCGAAAUGCGAUAAGUAAUGUGAAUUGCAGAAUUCAGUGAAUCAUCGAAUCUUUGAACGCACCUUGCGCCCCUUGGUUAUUCCAAAGGGCAUGCCUGUUUGAGUAUCAUGAACACCUCAACUCUUGUGGUUUCCCACAAUGAGCUUGGACUGUGGAGGUUUUGUUGGCCCUGUGGUCAGCUCCUCUCAAAUGGAUCAGCUUACCGGUGUUUGGUGGCAUUACGGGUGUGAUAACUAUCUACGCUUGUGGUCGUCUCCAAAUAACCUCCAGUGAUGGAGGUUCGCUGGAGCUUAUAAAUGUCUCUCCCCAGUGAAGACAGCCUUUGAACGUUCGAUCUCAAAUCAGGUAGGACUACCCGCUGAACUUAAGCAUAUCAAUAAGCGGAGGA